UUUUUAAUGAGAGUUUGAUCCUGGCUCAGGACGAACGCUGGCGGCGUGCCUAACACAUGCAAGUCGAGCGAUGAAG
rnacentral:rRNA from 1 species